CCCACGCGGUGACACACACCAAAGUGCAAAUUUGGAGACGCACCCAGAAGGUGCCGGGGCUUCUCCCGUUUGUGAAAGACGGGAGAAGA
rnacentral:tRNA from 1 species